AGAUACUGAAUCACAGUCUCUUCAUGGUUUUAUGACUUCAUGUUGUGUACAAUCAUUUCAUAACCAUAAAUCUUAGUGGAUUAUCUGGUGGGAUCGAAACUGUGAAUGUAGGAAUCCUCUGCAAGUGUUUGAAUUCACAGACAUCCAGCGCUUUGAAGACUGACACUCAACUCUGGGGGGACGCACAUUUUGAGAUUUCAUUCAUGAGUGGUUGGAGAAGAUUUGAGAGGUGUUACCCUGAUGGUGUUUAUUGUUUGUGUGAGUGACACUGAGCACCGUCUCUACAUGUUUAUUCGUCAUUGCUCUUGGAAAGGCCACUAUUGAUGAACUUCAUGUCAUCAUGUGCCUUUCUGUAAUAAAUAUGGUGAGUAACAAUACAUUAUAAAGUGAAAAGCAGAUUUUUUACAGUUUCAGAAGGUUAAAGUACUAAGUUUAUAUCAUUUACUAUAUAAACGGUAAUUUUAUCUUACAUUUAUGCAUUUGGCAGAUGCUUUUAUCCAAAGCGACUUACAGUGCACUUAUUACAGGGACAAUCCCCUGGAGCAACCUGGAGUUAAGUGCCUUGCUCAAGGACACAAUGGUGAUGGCUUGAACCAUGGGGAUUGAACCAGCAACCUUUUGUUACCAGUUAUGUGCUUUAGCCCACUACACCACCACCACUCCAUUUAAUCAGGAUAUUUUUUUAUUUAUUUAUUUAUUUUUUUUUCACAGUGCAGGACCCUAUAAUAAGUGUGCAAAGAAGACAGAACUAAAAGAAUAUUCUGUCUUAGACUGUCACGCCCUGCAGUUAGGUGCAUAUGGAACCAACACAGACAGUCCUCAUUUCUACCCUAUGCACAACAUGUGUGAGUUAUAGCACUUCAACAAGCUUCAUGAACUUUAUAGCUUUUUGGUCUAUUUCAAAGAUUCAAGCUACUGUAGGUGCAUAUGGAAAGACCACAAAAACAGAUGCCAAACAACAGUUCUACCCUAACAGUAUGCACUACACAUGAAAGCAGUGGCACUUAGAAAGCUUUAUGAGAACUGUGUGUCAUAAAGGAUAAUAAAACCGAUAAAAUUCUAUUACAACUCAAUACACAGCUUUAUAGAUUUUUGUUCUAUUUCAAAGAUUAAUUCUUCAAUAAGAGCAAGGGGUACAGAAUGCUUUCAUUGCACACAUCUAAAAUGCCACAACUGUGUGGACAAACAUUUGCUGGAGUAUCACGUAGACCUUUGGUUUUCCCAUUUUCCUACAUCUCUGUUCCAAAGAUAUUAUCUAGAAACAAAGCAUAUUGGUACUCUGACACAAAAUCAGGUUGCUUCACAAAAUUAAGCCAAAUAAUAUAUUUGUUACAAAUUUAUUGGGACCGAGGGCUGGCAAAGACAAAACUUUUCACAGCCAUACUCAGCCAGAUUUCAUGAAAUACUCUAGUGUUUUCACUAAACACUAAACUUUUGCAAAAAUAUUAUGUGGCUCCUUAUAUCGAGGCAGUUGAGGUGCUAAAAGCGAGUUUUCCAAAAAAGAUGAGGUUUUUAAUGCUAAUGCUCUAUCGAUUUUUAAAUCAACUAAAAACCUACCUUCCUCCUCACCGUAAACCUAACCGAUAGUGUCAUAAAAUGCAAAUGUGAGAGAAAACAAGCAAUUGCUGAAGCAACCACGUGAUUUUGCUGUGCUUGUAUGAACUGUGUGUUGACUUGUAUGCUCUUCAGGACUCAUACCCAUGUCCUACCACACAAUUUGUGCUCACUCAAACAAACUUAUAAAUGUAGCUGGUUAUGUAAUGCAAACACUGAAAUGUAUUGCCUUACACUAUAAACAUACAAAUAAAAUGUUUUGAUGUAAAGGUAGGAUUGUGCUUAUUAACUGAUAAUCUACUCAAAAAAAGUAAUUGCAAUACAUACAAUGAGCCAC